rnacentral:tRNA from 1 species
AUUAAUGUAGCAAACCCCGGUUUUGCAAAAGGCCUAAGCCCUUCCCAUAGAGGUUCAAAUCCCCUCAUUAACA